AACGAACGCUGGCGGCAUGCCUAACACAUGCAAGUCGAACGAGACCUUCGGGUCUAGUGGCGCACGGGUGCGUAACGCGUGGGAACCUGCCCUUAGGUUCGGAAUAACUCCCCGAAAGGGGUGCUAAUACCGGAUAAUGUCUUCGGACCAAAGAUUUAUCGCCUUUGGAUGGGCCCGCGUUGGAUUAGCUAGUUGGUAGGGUAAAAGCCUACCAAGGCGACGAUCCAUAGCUGGUCUGAGAGGAUGAUCAGCCACACUGGGACUGAGACACGGCCCAGACUCCUACGGGAGGCAGCAGUGGGGAAUAUUGGACAAUGGGCGAAAGCCUGAGCCAGCAAUGCCGCGUGAGUGAUGAAGGCCUUAGGGUUGUAAAGCUCUUUUACCCGGGAUGAUAAUGACAGGACCGGGAGAAUAAGCUCCGGCUAACUCCGU
rnacentral:rRNA from 1 species